rnacentral:rRNA from 1 species
AUUGAACGCUAGCGGGAUGCUUUACACAUGCAAGUCGAACGGAGUGGCGGACGGGUGAGUAAUAUAUCGGAACCUGCCUGAUAGCGGGGGAUAACUACUCGAAAGAGUGGCUAAUACCGCAUACCAUCAGAUCAGCCCAUAUCGGAUUAGCUUGUUGGUGGGGUAACGGCUCACCAAGGCGACGAUCCCUAGCUGGUUUGAGAGGAAGACCAGCCACACUGGGACUGAGACACGGCCCAGACUCCUACGGGAGGCAGCAGUGGGGAAUAUUGCACAAUGGGGGAAACCCUGAUCCAGCCAUCCCGCGUGUAUGAUGAAGGCCUUCGGGUUGUAAAGUACUUUUGGCAGGGAGGCGUUAUCGGCAGAAUAAGCACCGGCUAACUACGUGCCAGCAGCCGCGGUAAUUC